rnacentral:rRNA from 1 species
UGAGGAAUAUUGGUCAAUGGACGAGAGUCUGAACCAGCCAAGUAGCGUGCAGGAUGACGGCCCUAUGGGUUGUAAACUGCUUUUGUUUGGGAAUAAUCGACAUUACGUGUAAUGUUUUGCAUGUACCAUUCGAAUAAGGACCGGCUAAUUCCGUGCCAGCAGCCGCGGUAAUACGGAAGGUCCAGGCGUUAUCCGGAUUUAUUGGGUUUAAAGGGAGCGUAGGCCGUUUGGUAAGCGUGUUGUGAAAUGUAGGAGCUCAACUUCUAGAUUGCAGCGCGAACUGUCAGACUUGAGUGCGCACAACGUAGGCGGAAUUCAUGGUGUAGCGAUGAAAUGCUUAGAUGUCAUGAAGAACUCCGAUUGCGAAGGCAGCUUACGGGAGCGCAACUGACGCUGAAGCUCGAAGGUGCGGGUAUCGAACAGG